rnacentral:rRNA from 1 species
UGGGGAAUAUUGGACAAUGGGCGAAAGCCUGAUCCAGCCAUGCCGCGUGUGUGAAGAAGGUCUUCGGAUUGUAAAGCACUUUAAGUUGGGAGGAAGGGCAUUAGCCUAAUACGUUAGUGUUUUGACGUUACCGACAGAAUAAGCACCGGCUAACUCUGUGCCAGCAGCCGCGGUAAUACAGAGGGUGCAAGCGUUAAUCGGAAUUACUGGGCGUAAAGCGCGCGUAGGUGGUUUGUGAAGUUGGAUGUGAAAUCCCCGGGCUCAACCUGGGAACUGCAUUCAAAACUGACUGACUAGAGUAUGGUAGAGGGUGGUGGAAUUUCCUGUGUAGCGGUGAAAUGCGUAGAUAUAGGAAGGAACACCAGUGGCGAAGGCGACCACCUGGACUAAUACUGACACUGAGGUGCGAAAGCGUGGGGAGCAAACA